rnacentral:lncRNA from 1 species
AUGGAUUCCUUGGGGGUGCUGCUUCUUCCUUCUCUUUUUUUGGGGUGCCUGUGCCCUGUUCAGGAUUUGGGAACCUGCAGAGAGGGGCUGGGGACAGAGCUGCUCCCAGCUGCAAGGUCCCAGCUUCCUCCUUUCCCAUUCCUGGGUUUUCUGGGAGCUCAGAUCCUGCCUGGCUUUGCUCCUUUGGUGUUUUCUCUGGACUGUGCCUUUUCCCCUUUUCCCCUUUUUUUUCCUCCAUUCCCUAUUUUCCCUCUGCUCUCCCUUGUUUCCCUCCCACUUGCCCCUUUUUUUGGCACUUCCUCCUUUUCACCUUUCCCUUUUUCCCUCUCGCCCUAUUUUUCCCUUCUUCCUUUCUAUCCCCUUUUUUCCCCACCCCUUCUUUUUUCUCUUCCCUUUUUUCCUUUCCCUUUUUUUCCUUCCCCUUGUUUUUUCCCCACUUUCCCCUUGAAUUUUCCCCCCUUUUCUCCUUGUUUUUUCCCUCUUCUUUUCCCCCUCUUUGAUUCUUUCCCUUUCCCUUCUUCCUCUUUUUCUCUUCUUCCCUUUUUUCCUCUCUUCCCCUUUUCCACUCUUCCUGUUUUUUCCCCUUCCCCUUGCUUUGCUUUUGCCCUUGCUUCCCUUUUGCCUUUGUUUCCCUUUUUUCCUCCUUUCCCUUUUUUUCCUCCUUUUCCCUUAUUACCCCCUCCCUUUCCCCUUCUUUUUUCCCCUUUCCCCUUGUUUUUUCCCCCUUUCUCCUUGAUUUUUUUCCCUUCUCCUUUUUUUCUCCCUUUUUUCCCCCAUUCCCCUUGGUUUUUUCCCCCUUUCUCUUUGUUAUUUUUCCCUUUCCCCUUAUUUUUUUCCCCUUUCCCCUUGUUUUGUCCCCUUUCCCCUUCUUUUUUCCCCUUUCCCUUGUUUUUCCCCUUUCUCCUUGUUUUUUCCCCUUUCCUUCUUUUUUUCCCCUUUACCCUUGUUUUUUCCCCCUUUCCUUUGUUUUUCCCUAUUCCCCUUGUCUUUCCCCCUUUCUCCUUGAUUUUUUUCCCCUUCUCCUUUUCUCUCCCUUUUUUUCCCCCAUUCCCCUUUGUUUUUCUCCCCAUUCCCCUUGGUUUUUUUCCUCUUUCCCUUUGUUUUUUUCCCCUUUCCCCUUGUUUUUUCCCCUUUCCCCUUCUUUUUUCCCCAUUCCCCUUCUUUUUUUUUCCCCUUUCCCCUUCUUUUUUCCCCUUUCCCUUGUUUUUUCCCCUUUCUCCUUGUUUUUUCCCCUUUCCUUCUUUUUUUCCCCUUUACCCUUGUUUUUUCCCCCUUUCCUUUGUUUUUCCCUAUUCCCCUUGUCUUUCCCCCUUUCUCCUUGAUUUUUUUCCCCUUCUCCUUUUCUCUCCCUUUUUUUCCCCCAUUCCCCUUUGUUUUUCUCCCCAUUCCCCUUGGUUUUUUUCCUCUUUCCCUUUGUUUUUUUCCCCUUUCCCCUUGUUUUUUCCCCUUUCCCCUUCUUUUUUCCCCAUUCCCCUUCUUUUUUUUUCCCCUUUCCCCUUCUUUUUUCCCCUUUCCCUUGUUUUUUCCCCUUUCUCCUUGUUUUUUCCCCUUUCCUUCUUUUUUUCCCCUUUACCCUUGUUUUUUCCCCCUUUCCUUUGUUUUUCCCUAUUCCCCUUGUCUUUCCCCCUUUCUCCUUGA